GGACACGCGCGCACACACACCUUGGGAGAACGAGCGUCUUCCCCCAGCUUCGUGGGUUUCUCCGCCCACCAGGGCAGUGUGUGAGAGGAAAUCUCGGGGCUUUGCUCUAUCGCAAGUGCUCGUCUGGGCGGUUUUUGAGCACCACCAUCCAGAAGUGCUGGCGUCCGGAUGCAUUUGCCUUUGCUUUGCAAAGAAGAGUCGUGAACUUCAAGACCCUUCCAGACGGAUAAUUAAUCCUGCUUUGCAGGAAAGGGAAACCCUCCAUCCCCAGCCACCCCAUCUCCGGAGACCCUGCAAUCGCCCAGGAGCUCCGAACCGGAAGGGGACGCUUUGGGAAUGACCACGCUCCACGGAGGGACAGAGCCGGUCCCCAGCUUCUCUACACAGAGCCUCCUCCACUAAAGCUCCAAAAACCAAAAACCGUAAUUGCCCGAAGAAUUGUUUAAAAAAAAAAAAAAAUAGUCCGGCCACUAACCUCACAUGCACACGGAAUAAUCAUUCUGGAUUCUGCAUUGUGAGCUGUUCUCCAUAGCCUGAAUUACCUUUGAAUUCCAUCUUUUUUUUUUCUUUGAAUUUGCCUCUCUUCAAGACACAAGAUUAAAACAAAAUUCACGCUGAA
ensembl:lncRNA